UGUGCUGUGGCUUAGUUGGUUAAAGCGCCGGUCUAGCGAAUCAGAGUCGUGGGUUCGAAUCCCACCAGAACGC
rnacentral:tRNA from 1 species